rnacentral:rRNA from 1 species
GAUGAACGCUAGCGACAGGCCUAACACAUGCAAGUCGAGGGGCAGCACAAGGAGCAAUCUGAGGUGGCGACCGGCGCACGGGUGAGUAACACGUAUGCAACCUACCUGUAAGAGGGGAAUAACCCGUUGAAAAACGGACUAAUACCGCAUAACACUGUAGAACCGCAUGGUUUGACAGUUAAACAUUUAUGGCUUACAGAUGGGCAUGCGCAUGAUUAGCUAGUUGGUGAGGUAACGGCUCACCAAGGCAACGAUCAUUAGGGGUUCUGAGAGGAAGGUCCCCCACACUGGUACUGAGACACGGACCAGACUCCUACGGGAGGCAGCAGUGAGGAAUAUUGGUCAAUGGGGCGAGAGCCUGAACCAGCCAAGUCGCGUGAAGGAUGAAGGUUUUAUGAAUUGUAAACUUCUUUUGCAGGGGAAUAAAGUGUCGACGUGUCGGAUUUUGUAUGUACUCUGCGAAUAAGGAUCGGCUAACUCCGUGCCAGCA